CUGAGCUACAGAUGGUGCGUCUCCAAAGUGGACGAGAAUUUGAAUGCCAUGAAGAUUAUAAGGUGUCCGGAAAUGGCUCCUCCGCCCGAAGAACCACCAGUGGGCGCUGCCACUACGGCCACAGCUGUAAUUGAACUGCCACCUUCAGUAACCUCCAGUGAAUCCCCAGCUCCAAGUGAACAGCCACCAGUGAACGCCACAGCAUGUGUUCCCUUCCGAC